UCUUCGGUCAUAGAUUAAGCCAUGCAAGUGUUAGUUCCGGGAAACUUAAACUGCGAACAGCUCAUUAACACGUUUAGAAUCUCAUUCACCGCGAACGUUCAGUUCUUAUAUGGAUAGCAGGAGUAAUUCUCGUGCUAAUACAUGCGAUUGUUUCAGAAGAACGGAGCUAUUCUGAAAAAGUUUACCUUUUUCGGGUAAGUGAAUGGAUUGAAUGCCCUAUCAGCUAGUAAUUAGGAUCUUUGCCUAUUCAGGCUAUUACGGGUAACGGGCAGUUAUCGUUGGACUGCCGGAGAAGGGGCCUGAGAGAUAGCCACUAUGCCUACGGGCAGCAGCAGGCGCGAAACUUACCCAAUCGAAAUCCUCGGAGGUGGUAAUGACCAGUUUCAAUGUGUGCGAUUAGCACAUUUGAAUAGGAUUACACUUUUUCAGUGUUAUGAACUCUAAUUGAGGGCCAGUCUGGUGCCAGCAGCUGCGGUAAUUCCAGCUCAAUUAGUGUGCUCCCAUCUUGUUGCAGUUACAACGCCCGUAGUCUGAAAUCUCUUUUUGAGGGUUGAUUGGAAACGAGGUCUCUAUGAACAAAACAAAAAGCUUAAGUUAGUUAGAAUUGAAUGAUCAAGCGUGGUAAGACAUUUUUACCUUUCAUUGGGUAAAUUCAAGGAGAGUCGAUAGGGAUACUCAAAUUUUGUGACGAGCGGUGGAAUGCGUUGACUCACGAGAGGUGAACAGAAGCGAAAGCGGGUAUCAGGGAGAUUUCUGUCGAUCAAGGGCGAUAGUAGGGCUAUCAAACCGGAUUAGAGACCCGGGUAGUCCCUACCGUAAACGAUGUCGAUUACGGGUUGUUUUUGAGAGCAGAACGUUGAGAGAAAUCAAAAUUCAGGGACUCUAGGGGAAUUACGGCCGCAAGACUGAAACUUGAAAGAAUUGACGGAAGGGCACACCAGGGGUGGAGCCUGUGGCUUAAUUUGAAUCAACACGAGGAAACUUACCAGCACAAGAUGAUUUUAAUGAUUGACAGUCUGAAGGGCUUUCAAGAUAAGUUUUUUGGUGGUGCAUGGCCGUUGGUGGUGCGUGGGUUGUCCUGUCAAUUUGUCGAUUCAGAUAACGAGCGAGACUAUUAUCAAAUUCUGGUUGUCCUUUACUUUUUAGGAGGCACGACGCAAUUUGAGACUCCCCGUGCAUUAACGGGCGGAAGAGGAUAGCAAUAACAGGUCCGUGAUGUCCUUUAGAUGCGCUGGGCUGCACGCGUGCUACAAUGAAUUUGUCAGUGGGUUUUUACGAUAUUGAAAAAGUGAAUUACUCCUGUAAACAAAUUCGUGGUUGGGAUCGACGAUUGUAAUCAUUGUCGUGAACUAGGAAUCCCUUGUAAACGUGUGUCAACAUCGCACGUUGAAUACGUCCCUGCCCUUUGUACACACCGCCCGUCGCUCCUACCGAUUGAAUGACUUGGUGAAAAUGUUGGAGGCCAUUGGCCGAAAGCAUUUAAAUCACGUUAUUUAGAGGAAGGAGAAGUCGUAACAAGGA
rnacentral:rRNA from 1 species